CCUACGGGUGGCAGCAGUGGGGAAUAUUGGGCAAUGGGCGCAAGCCUGACCCAGCAACGCCGCGUGAAGGAAGAAGGCUUUCGGGUUGUAAACUUCUUUUGUCAGGGAAGAGUAGAAGACGGUACCUGACGAAUCAGCCACGGCUAACUACGUGCCAGCAGCCGCGGUAAUACGUAGGUGGCAAGCGUUGUCCGGCUUUACUGGGGGGAAAGGGCGUGUAGCCGGGUUGACAAGUCAGAUGUGAAAUCCUGCGGGUUAACCGCAGGACUGCAUUUGAAACUGUUGAUCUUGAGUACUGGAGAGGCAGGUGGAAUUCCUAGUGUAGCGGUGAAAUGCGUAGAUAUUAGGAGGAACACCAGUGGCGAAGGUAGUCUGCUGGACAGCAACUGACGGUGAGGCGCGAAAGCGUGGGGAGCAAACAGGAUUAGAUACCCGAGUAGUC
rnacentral:rRNA from 1 species